rnacentral:rRNA from 1 species
GAUGAACGCUGGCGGCGUGCCUAAUACAUGCAAGUCGAGCGAACGGACGAGAAGCUUGCUUCUCUGAUGUUAGCGGCGGACGGGUGAGUAACACGUGGAUAACCUACCUAUAAGACUGGGAUAACUUCGGGAAACCGGAGCUACUACCGGAUAAUAUUUUGAACCGCAUGGUUCAAAAGUGAAAGACGGUCUUGCUGUCACUUAUAGAUGGAUCCGCGCUGCAUUAGCUAGCUGGUAAGGCAACGGGUUACCAAGGCAUCGAUGCAUAGCCUACCUGAGAGGGUGAUCGGCCACACUGGACCUGAGACACGGUCCAGACUCCUACGGGAGGCAGCAGUACGGAAUCUUCCGCAGUGGGCGAAAGCCUGACGGAGCAAUGCCGCGUGAGUGAUGAAGGUCUUCGCAUCGCAUAACUCCGUUAUUAGGGAAUAACACAUGUGUCAGUAACUGUGCACAUCUUGACGGUACCUAAUCACAAAGCCACGGCUAACUACGUGCCAACAGCCGCGGUAAUACCUACGUGGCAAGCGCUAUCAGGAGUUAUUGGGCGUAAAGUGCGCGUAGGCGGUUUUUUAGUCUGAUGUGAAAGCCCACGGCUCAACCGCGGUAUGGACACUGGAAACUGGAAAACUUGAGUGCAGAAGAGGAAAGUGUUAUUCCAUGUGUAGCGGUGAAAUGCGCAGAGAUAUGGAGGAACACCAGUGGCGAAGGCGACUUUCUGGUCUGUAACUGACGCUGAUGUGCGAAAGCGUGGGGAUCAAACAGGAUUAGAUACCCUGGUAGUCCACGCCGUAAACGAUGAGUGCUAAGUGUUAGGGGGUUUCCGCCCCUUAGUGCUGCGGCUAACGCAUUAAGCACUCCGCCUGGGGAGUACGACCGCAAGGUUGAAACUCAAGGGAAUUGACGGGGACCCGCACAAGCGGUGGAGCAUGUGGUUUAAUUCGAAGCAACGCGAAGAACCUUACCAAAUCUUGACAUCCUUUGACAACUCUAGAGAUAGAGCCUUCCCCUUCGGGGGACAAAGUGACAGGUGGUGCAUGGUUGUCGUCAGCUCGUGUCGUGAGAUGUUGGGUUAAGUCCCGCAACGAGCGCAACCCUUAAGCUUAGUUGCCAUCAUUAAGUUGGGCACUGUAAGAUGACUGCCGGUGACAAACCGGAGGAAGGUGGGGAGGAGGUCAAAUCAUCAUACCCCUUAUGAUUCGGGUAACACACGCGCUACAAUGCACAAUACAAAGCGGCAGGAGAACCGCGAGGUCAAGCAAAUCCCAUAAAGUUGUUCUCAGUUCGCAUUGUAGUCUGCAACUCGUCGACACGAAGAAGGAAUAGCUAGUAAUAGUAGAUCAGCAUAAUACGGCGAAUACGUUGCCGGGUGU